CCAAGGGGUCAUGGGGCAUGGUUGGAAAGCCGCCCAUGACAUGAAGCACGUUAUGAAAAUACCACACAACUGAAAAUUGACAAACUUAAAAAUGUGGAAGUGGAGUACCAUGGAAGAUGUAUAGGAGUAAAAGAACUACACCAAAAAAAGAAGAAGAUGAAAGUCAAAAUAGCACAGUACUCAAACAUGUGAAGGAUUAGAGAUGCAAAAGCAUCAAGUGGCAGUGUAGGUUCUAUUUAAAAGGUUGCCCGCUAUUUUGAACUGCCAAACUCAAAAUAAAAUCUGGAACAAUCUUGUUAUGUACUUUUUUUAUGUGAAGAAAAGUUUCUUUCUAAGUUUCUUGUACCCUCAUAUCAUCUUUAGCUUUUUUGUUUUUGUUAUUUAUUUAGUCUUAUAUUUUGAGUCAAAAAGUGAGAAGAAAUUUGGACUCACUCAAAUUCAUGUUAGGAAAUGUCUCCAAAGUAUCCAAUUUGUGACAGUCUAACUUAAUCUGUCAUAAGAUAUUUCUAAGGAUCCGAAGGAUAAGUGGGUUUUUCCCCCCUUGUUUUGUAUUUCCUUCUUUUGUGGGUCAAUUAUUUUUAAUCCUUGUCGAGACUAGUGUGGAUGGAUAUACAUGUGCAGUGCUAUGGAAUUUGGUGUUUAUCAUUUGGAUCUUAAACUUUCUCUUUAUACUUGCAGGAUAGCGAAAUGCAUCGUGGGAAGCCAUUGUAUCUAAAUGAGGAACGCUAUGCUGCCUUAACUCAUAUGGUGGCUUCUCAUGGACUGGAUCGUAGUUCAAAGGUGCUUCGUCCGACGAAUAUUGGCACUUUUUUCAUGCUUUAGUUCGACUGUUUCGUAAGGUCUGGUUAACUAGGUCCCAGGAAAUAGUCAAAGAUGGUAAAAAGUUAUCAGCUGUCUGGUUCUGAGUUUUGACUCAUACACAGCAUGUCCAAUGUUCUGCGGUCUGCUACUGUCUAAUAUACAGAUUAUCGAGAUAAAUAGGCGUUGACAUCUGCGGCAGAGAAGUAGGAUUUGCUUUUAUCGGAAAGGGAUGUUUCGUGACUUUGGUGGAGCGGCUGACUAUCACGCAUUGCUGUACAGAGAUUGUAAAUAUAUCUAUUGUAGUUUUGAUCCAUUCAACUGGUUUCCUAAAGGUGUAAAUUAUAGUCUAAGUAGGUAUAUGGAUUAUUAAUACGAUAUCCUUCCCCCUCCUCGCCAACCCCCUUCUGACACUGAAAAUGUAAAUUCAGACGUAAUUAACAAUAUGUUGAAAAGCGAUGUUAGAUUUUGAGUUU